UGGGGAAUCUUCCGCAAUGGACGAAAGUCUGACGGAGCAACGCCGCGUGAGUGAAGACGGCCUUCGGGUUGUAAAGCUCUGUGAUCCGGGACGAAAGAGCCUGAGGUAAAUAGCCUAAGGAAGUGACGGUACCGGAAAAGCAAGCCACGGCUAACUACGUGCCAGCAGCCGCGGUAAUACGUAGGUGGCAAGCGUUGUCCGGAAUUAUUGGGCGUAAAGCGCGCGCAGGCGGCUUACUAAGUCCAUCUUAAAAGUGCGGGGCUUAACCCCGUGAUGGGAUUGGAAAUGGAAAGCUGGAGUAUCGGAGAGGAAAGUUGAAUUCCUAGUGUAGCGGUGAAAUGCGUAGAGAUUAGGAAGAACACCGGUGGCGAAGGCGACUUUCUGGACGAAAACUGACGCUGAGGCGCGAAAGGGUGGGGAGCAAACAGG
rnacentral:rRNA from 1 species